CAGCAGCCGCGGGAAUACGUAGGUGGCAAGCGUUGUCCGGAAUUAUUGGGCGUAAAGGGCUCGCAGGCGGUUUCUUAAGUCUGAUGUGAAGGCCCCCGGCCCAACCGGGGAGGGUCAUUGGAAACUGGGAAACUUGAGUGCAGAAGAGGAGAGUGGAAUUCCACGUGUAGCGGUGAAAUGCGUAGAGAUGUGGAGGAACACCAGUGGCGAAGGCGACUCUCUGGUCUGUAACUGAUGCUGAGGAGCGAAAGCGUGGGGAGCGAACAGGAUUAGAUACCCCCGUAGUCCCUGUCUCUUAUAC
rnacentral:rRNA from 1 species